CAGCAAACCACGGGCUGUUGACUUAGCGUUUCUGAGCUGCUAAUUAGAGAAGGAAAUUCUAUCUACUCACCCCCAAAGGGCAAGUGAACAGGGCCACUAGCACAGCUUUUGUGGCAGGGCCUAGCCUUUGGGGCAAUCAGAGGGCACAGUCUGUUCUCUUUGCCUCCUCUCCAUCAACCCUAGCAAAAGCCAGACCCGUCCCACUGCUCCCUUCCACAUCCCUCUGACUCCAACACUGAGUCCACUGACAUUUCUCAAGCCAAGCGGCCCUCCUAGGUUGCUCUCAGAGGCUUCCUUCUCCCACGCCUACCCAGUUAGAUGGAGCUCUUGAAUGGAUUACCACACUUUUAACCACCUCUAUAUAAGAUAACUGCUUUUUCAUCCCCAAAUAAAAGUUUUAUUGAAUCUUAAUGGUAAAAUCUACUGUUUAGGGGGAACAGCAGAUAACUCAUCAUACAUUUUGGAUGCAAUUCUUUUGACUUUUUGAAAAACUGCUUUUAAUAGGUGAACUAUGUUUUUAG
rnacentral:lncRNA from 1 species